CCUGUGCCCUGGAGCUGUGCCAGGGAGUGGCAGGGGGGUGGUGGCAGCAGUGACAGUGACAAGCUGGGCAGCUGCAGAGCAAGGAGCAGCAGGAUCACCCUGAGAGCGCCAUGAGGGGUUUCCAGAGGGGCUCCCAGCUCCUGGCAGCUGCACUCCGGAUCAGCCGGGUCCCCCGGGCACAGAUCCGCUCACAUCCCCCCGAGAACCCGCUCUCUCCCGGUGAACAAGCCGUGGCCCUCACCCUGAUGUUCUCGUCCUUCCUGCUGCCCACAGCCUGGGUCCUGAGCAAUAUCUACAACUACAGGAGCAGGCCCGAGUGAGGAGUGGCAGGAGCAGCCUGAUCCCUGCUGAGAGCAUCCCGAGGGAAGAGGCCUCGGGACAGAGCCUCGUCGGGGAUGGAACCCCCUGAGCCUGCUCAUUAAAAUCCACCUUUGCAUUCAA